rnacentral:rRNA from 1 species
GUUUGAUCCUGGCUCAGAACUAACGCUGGCGGCGUGCCUAACACAUGCAAGUCGAACGAGAAAGUUGGCUUCGGCCAAUGAGUAAAGUGGCGCACGGGUGAGUAACACGUGGAUAACCUUCCCUUCAGUCAGGAAUAACCUACCGAAAGGUAAGCUAAUACCUGAUCCUACGGAUCCACUGCGGUGGAUUCGUCAAAGAUGGCCUCUGCUUGCAAGCUAUCGCUGUUGGAUGGGUCCGCGUACCAUUAGCUAGUUGGCAGGGUAAUGGCCUACCAAGGCUCUGAUGGUUAGCUGGUCUGAGAGGAUGACCAGCCACACUGGAACUGAGACACGGUCCAGACUCCUACGGGAGGCAGCAGUGAGGAAUAUUGCGCAAUGGGGGAAACCCUGACGCAGCGACGCCGCGUGAGUGAGGAAGGCCUUCGGGUCGUAAAGCUCUGUCAGAUGGGAAGAAAUGGAUGGGGGCUAAUAUCGUCCAUCCUUGACGGUACCAUCAGAGGAAGCACCGGCUAACUCCGUGCCAGCAGCCGCGGUAAUACGGAGGGUGCAAGCGUUGUUCGGAAUUAUUGGGCGUAAAGCGCGUGUAGGCGGUAGGAUAAGUCAGAUGUGAAAGCCCUGGGCUCAACCCAGGAAGUGCAUUUGAAACUGUCCUGCUUGAGUACGGGAGAGGAAAGUGGAAUUCCUGGUGUAGAGGUGAAAUUCGUAGAUAUCAGGAGGAACACCGGUGGCGAAGGCGGCUUUCUGGCCCUUCACUGACGCUGAGACGCGAGAGCGUGGGGAGCAAACAGGAUUAGAUACCCUGGUAGUCCACGCUGUAAACGAUGUUCACUAGGU